rnacentral:lncRNA from 1 species
GCCGUGGCGCCUUUUUCGUUAUCUUGUACUUUUGUGUUUUUGACAUUUAGGCCUGCGGUUGAUUGGUGGCGUUGGUUGUAAUGAUAUUUGUGACCGUUGGUCGUGUUCUUGUUUUGAGUGUUCGGUUGGGUUGGCCUGUUCUUGGCUUGUAAAAAAAAUGCAUCGAGACGCAAACUUUGCGUUUUCUCGGGAUUUUUUUUUGUUUUUAGAAGUCUCUGAAUCUCAGAUCGUGCAUGCGAACUCUCGAAAGGAUCGAGAUAACGUCCGUCGUUCGGACCUCACGAGCUGCGUUUGGAAUAAUCGACGCGAGUUUUCUCCACGGUGUUAUUUCGAGAUGAUUUGCUGACAGAUUUUCGGAGCGACCUACGAACCCCAGUGAGCCAGUAGUGACCAGUGUGAACGGGUAUAAGAGAAAUUAAAGGUGCGCACAGACACAGCGCAUGAGGGUAUGCAUAUCUGUCAUCCAUCUCAUUCAAUCCACAAGACUACAAUUAAGCUGUCUGCCGUGGGCUGUCUGCGCCCACAUCAUCAGACCUCAUGCUGUCGUCGUGUACAACAAGUACGUAUGGCGGUAAAACACAACACAACCGAUCAGCCGUACGUCCAACAACUCUCAGAUCAUCAUCGC